rnacentral:rRNA from 1 species
UACGGGGGGAGCAAGCGUUGUUCGGAUUUACUGGGCGUAAAGGGCGCGUAGGCGGUCAGCACAAGUCAGUUGUGAAAUCUCCGAGCUUAACUCGGAAAGGUCAACUGAUACUGUGCGACUAGAGUGCAGAAGGGGCAACUGGAAUUCUUGGUGUAGCGGUGAAAUGCGUAGAUAUCAAGAGGAACACCUGCGGCGAAGGCGGGUCUCUGGACAGUUCCUGACGCUGAGGCGCGAAGGCCCAGGGGAGCAAAACGGG